rnacentral:rRNA from 1 species
ACGAACGCUGGCGGCGUGCUUAACGCAUGCAAGUCGAACGGAAAGGCCCUGCUUUUGUGGGGUGCUCGAGUGGCGAACGGGUGAGUAACACGUGAGUAACCUGCCCUUGACUUUGGGAUAACUUCAGGAAACUGGGGCUAAUACCGGAUAGGAGCUCCUGCUGCAUGGUGGGGGUUGGAAAGUUUCGGCGGUUGGGGAUGGACUCGCGGCUUAUCAGCUUGUUGGUGGGGUAGUGGCUUACCAAGGCUUUGACGGGUAGCCGGCCUGAGAGGGUGACCGGCCACAUUGGGACUGAGAUACGGCCCAGACUCCUACGGGAGGCAGCAGUGGGGAAUAUUGCACAAUGGGCGGAAGCCUGAUGCAGCAACGCCGCGUGCGGGAUGACGGCCUUCGGGUUGUAAACCGCUUUCGCCUGUGACGAAGCGUGAGUGACGGUAAUGGGUAAAGAAGCACCGGCUAACUACGUG